rnacentral:rRNA from 1 species
AGAUUAAGUUAUUAAGGGCGCACGGUGGAUGCCUUGGCACUAGAAGCCGAUGAAGGACGUUACUAACGACGAUAUGCUUUGGGUAGCUGUAAGUAAGCGUUGAUCCAGAGAUUUCCGAAUGGGGGAACCCAGCAUGAGUUAUGUCAUGUUAUCGACAUGUGAAUUCAUAGCAUGUCAGAAGGCAGACCCGGAGAACUGAAACAUCUUAGUACCCGGAGGAAGAGAAAGAAAAAUCGAUUCCCUGAGUAGCGGCGAGCGAAACGGAAGAGGCCCAAACCAACAAGCUUGCUUGUUGGGGUUGUAGGACACUCUAUACGGAGUUACAAAAGAACAUGUUAGACGAAUCAUCUGGAAAGAUGAAUCAAAGAAGGUAAUAAUCCUGUAGUCGAAAACAUAUUCUCUCUUGAGUGGAUCCUGAGUACGACGGAGCACGUGAAAUUCCGUCGGAAUCUGGGAGGACCAUCUCCUAAGGCUAAAUACUCUCUAGUGACCGAUAGUGAACCAGUACCGUGAGGGAAAGGUGAAAAGUACCCCGAAGGGGAGUGAAAGAGAACUUGAAACCGUGUGCUUACAAGUAGUCAGAGCCCGUUAAUGGGUGAUGGCGUGCCUUUUGUAGAAUGAACCGGCGAGUUACGAUCUGAUGCAAGGUUAAGCAGCAAAUGUGGAGCCGCAGCGAAAGCGAGUCUGAAUAGGGCGUUGAGUAUUUGGUCGUAGACCCGAAACCAGGUGAUCUACCCUUGGUCAGGUUGAAGUUCAGGUAACACUGAAUGGAGGACCGAACCGACUUACGUUGAAAAGUGAGCGGAUGAACUGAGGGUAGCGGAGAAAUUCCAAUCGAACUUGGAGAUAGCUGGUUCUCUCCGAAAUAGCUUUAGGGCUAGCCUCAAGUGAUGAUUAUUGGAGGUAGAGCACUGUUUGGACGAGGGGCCCCUCUCGGGUUACCGAAUUCAGACAAACUCCGAAUGCCAAUUAAUUUAACUUGGGAGUCAGAACAUGGGUGAUAAGGUCCGUGUUCGAAAGGGAAACAGCCCAGACCACCAGCUAAGGUCCCAAAAAUAUAUGUUAAGUGGAAAAGGAUGUGGCGUUGCCCAGACAACUAGGAUGUUGGCUUAGAAGCAGCCAUCAUUUAAAGAGUGCGUAAUAGCUCACUAGUCGAGUGACACUGCGCCGAAAAUGUACCGGGGCUAAACAUAUUACCGAAGCUGUGGAUUGUCCUUUGGACAAUGGUAGGAGAGCGUUCUAAGGGCGUCGAAGCAUGAUCGCAAGGACAUGUGGAGCGCUUAGAAGUGAGAAUGCCGGUGUGAGUAGCGAAAGACGGUGAGAAUCCCGUCCACCGAUUGACUAAGGUUUCCAGAGGAAGGCUCGUCCGCUCUGGGUUAGUCGGGUCCUAAGCUGAGGCCGACAGGCGUAGGCGAUGGAUAACAGGUUGAUAUUCCUGUACCACCUAGUAUCGUUUUAAUCGAUGGGGACGCAGUAGGAUAGGCGAAGCGUGCUGUUGGAGUGCACGUCCAAGCAGUAAGGCUGAGUGUUAGCAAAUCCGGCACUCAUAAGGCUGAGCUGUGAUGGGGAGAGGAAAUUGUUUCCUCGAGUCGUUGAUUUCACACUGCCGAGAAAAGCCUCUAGAUAGAUAACAGGUGCCCGUACCGCAAACCGACACAGGUAGUCAAGAUGAGAAUUCUAAGGUGAGCGAGCGAACUCUCGUUAAGGAACUCGGCAAAAUGACCCCGUAACUUCGGGAGAAGGGGUGCUCUUUAGGGUUCACGCCCAGAAGAGCCGCAGUGAAUAGGCUCAAGCGACUGUUUAUCAAAAACACAGGUCUCUGCUAAACCGUAAGGUGAUGUAUAGGGGCUGACGCCUGCCCGGUGCUGGAAGGUUAAGAGGAGUGGUUAGCUUCUGCGAAGCUACGAAUCGAAGCCCCAGUAAACGGCGGCCGUAACUAUAACGGUCCUAAGGUAGCGAAAUUCCUUGUCGGGUAAGUUCCGACCCGCACGAAAGGCGUAACGAUUUGGGCACUGUCUCAACGAGAGACUCGGUGAAAUCAUAGUACCUGUGAAGAUGCAGGUUACCCGCGACAGGACGGAAAGACCCCGUGGAGCUUACUGUAGCCUGAUAUUGAAAUUCGGCACAGCUUGUACAGGAUAGGUAGGAGCCUUUGAAACGUGAGCGCUAGCUUACGUGGAGGCGUUGGUGGGAUACUACCCUAGCUGUGUUGGCUUUCUAACCCGCACCACUUAUCGUGGUGGGAGACAGUGUCAGGCGGGCAGUUUGACUGGGGCGGUCGCCUCCCUAAAAGGUAACGGAGGCGCUCAAAGGUUCCCUCAGAAUGGUUGGAAAUCAUUCAUAGAGUGUAAAGGCAUAAGGGAGCUUGACUGCGAGACCUACAAGUCGAGCAGGGUCGAAAGACGGACUUAGUGAUCCGGUGGUUCCGCAUGGAAGGGCCAUCGCUCAACGGAUAAAAGCUACCCCGGGGAUAACAGGCUUAUCUCCCCAAGAGUUCACAUCGACGGGGAGGUUUGGCACCUCGAUGUCGGCUCAUCGCAUCCUGGGGCUGUAGUCGGUCCCAAGGGUUGGGCUGUUCGCCCAUUAAAGCGGUACGCGAGCUGGGUUCAGAACGUCGUGAGACAGUUCGGUCCCUAUCCGUCGUGGGCGUAGGAAAUUUGAGAGGAGCUGUCCUUAGUACGAGAGGACCGGGAUGGACAUACCUCUGGUGUACCAGUUGUCGUGCCAACGGCAUAGCUGGGUAGCUAUGUAUGGACGGGAUAAGUGCUGAAAGCAUCUAAGCAUGAAGCCCCUCAAGAUGAGAUUUCCCAACUUCGGUUAUAAGAUCCCCGAAGAUGACGAGGUUAAUAGGUUCGAGGUGGAAGCGUGGUGACACGUGGAGCUGACGAAUACUAAUCGAUCGAAGACUUAAUCAAUUUUUAAAAAC